GACGAACGCUGGCGGCGUGCUUAACACAUGCAAGUCGAACGGAAAGGCCCUGCUUUUGUGGGGUGCUCGAGUGGCGAACGGGUGAGUAACACGUGAGUAACCUGCCCUUGACUUUGGGAUAACUUCAGGAAACUGGGGCUAAUACCGGAUAGGAGCUCCUGCUGCAUGGUGGUGGUUGGAAAGUUUCGGCGGUUGGGGAUGGACUCGCGGCUUAUCAGCUUGUUGGUGGGGUAGUGGCUUACCAAGGCUUUGACGGGUAGCCGGCCUGAGAGGGUGACCGGCCACAUUGGGACUGAGAUACGGCCCAGACUGCUACGGGAGGCAGGAGGGGGGAAUAUAGCACAAUGGGCGGAAGCCUGAUGCAGCAACGCCGCGUGCGGGAUGACGGCCUUCGGGUUGUAAACCGCUUUCGCCUGUGACGAAGCGUGAGUGACGGUAAUGGGUAAAGAAGCACCGGCUAACUACGUG
rnacentral:rRNA from 1 species